rnacentral:rRNA from 1 species
AGUGAACGCUGGCGGUAGGCCUAACACAUGCAAGUCGAACGGCAGCACAAUAAGAGCUUGCUCUUACGGGUGGCGAGUGGCGGACGGGUGAGGAAUACAUCGGAAUCUAUUUUUUCGUGGGGGAUAACGUAGGGAAACUUACGCUAAUACCGCAUACGACCUACGGGUGAAAGCAGGGGAUCUUCGGACCUUGCUCGAUUGAAUGAGCCGAUGUCGGAUUAGCUAGUUGGCGGGGUAAAGGCCCACCAAGGCGACGAUCCGUAGCUGGUCUGAGAGGAUGAUCAGCCACACUGGAACUGAGACACGGUCCAGACUCCUACGGGAGGCAGCAGUGGGGAAUAUUGGACAAUGGGCGCAAGCCUGAUCCAGCAAUACCGCGUGGGUGAAGAAGGCCUUCGGGUUGUAAAGCCCUUUUGUUGGGAAAGAAAAGCAGCAGGUUAAUACCCCGCUGUUCUGACGGUACCCAAAGAAUAAGCACCGGCUAACUUCGUG